AAAGGUUACAAUCGCAAUCGCAAACGGG
rnacentral:piRNA from 1 species